rnacentral:rRNA from 1 species
UACGGGGGGUGCGAGCGUUGUCCGGAAUCACUGGGCGUAAAGGGCGCGUAGGUGGUUUGAUAAGGGUGUGGUGAAAGUCCGGGGCUCAACCCCGGAUCUGCCGUGCCGACUGUCAAACUCGAGGACUGUAGAGGCAGACGGAAUUCCGGGUGUAGCGGUGGAAUGCGUAGAGAUCCGGAGGAAGACCGGUGGCGAAGGCGGUCUGCUGGGCAGUUUCUGACACUGAUGCGCGACAGCGUGGGGAGCAAACAGGAUUAGAUACCCUGGUAGUCCACGCCGUAAACGAUGGGUACUAGGUGCCUGGGGGAGCGACCCUCUGGGUGCCGGCGCUAACGCAGGAAGUACCCCGCCUGGGGAGUACGACCGCAAGGUUGAA